UUACGGCCAUAUCACGUUAAAACACCAGUUCCCGUAUGAUCCCCGAUGUUAAGCAAUGAUGAACCUGACCAUUAUCUGGAUGGGUGACCACUGGUUAAUAUUGGUGUUGUAA